UGUGAGGAGUCAGUCUAAAGAGGAUACAAUUUCAUUGUGAUUCUGCAGUCUGUUUCAGCUGCUCUAGAUGGAGAGAGACUGGGUGAGGUGUAACCAUAAAGAACUAAGAGGACUUCUUUCCUGAGAGACUCUUGUCUUGUGAAGAAACAUUAUAAAGAGAAUUGUUGAAUUACUUUUGGCAGUGGAAGAAACUGAGGCUCAGAGAGGAAGUGACCUGUCCAACAAGAAGUAGCAGAUGAGAAAUUUAGUCCCAGGUCUUCUGCCUCCAAAUCCAAGGCUCUUUCUGCUGUAGAAGAUUGUGAAAGCAAACUGCAGGCUGAAUUUGGCACCUACGUCAGAGUUUGCUCACCCUGAUCUAGUUCAUUUCCCUCAUUUUAUAGAAGGGAAAAAUGAGGCCCAGAGGUUAAACAAACCAUAUAAGGUCGAACAGAACUGAGGUUUCGAAGAACAGCAUGAGGACACCAUGAGAUGUGGAAAACCUUAAAGACCUUCAGUACUGGAGUUGUGAAAUGCCUUGGCAAUAUGUGUCCUCUACACAUGUGUCUCACUACUGUUGUAUUCUAAAUUUUAUAUGUAUUUGUGGUCAUAGCUAUUAUCCUUACUAUGUCA